rnacentral:rRNA from 1 species
GACGAACGCUGGCGGCGUGCCUAAUACAUGCAAGUAGAACGCUGAAGAGAGGAGCUUGCUCUUCUUGGAUGAGUUGCGAACGGGUGAGUAACGCGUAGGUAACCUGCCUUGUAGCGGGGGAUAACUAUUGGAAACGAUAGCUAAUACCGCAUAACAAUGGAUGACACAUGUCAUUUAUUUGAAAGGGGCAAUUGCUCCACUACAAGAUGGACCUGCGUUGUAUUAGCUAGUAGGUGAGGUAAUGGCUCACCUAGGCGACGAUACAUAGCCGACCUGAGAGGGUGAUCGGCCACACUGGGACUGAGACACGGCCCAGACUCCUACGGGAGGCAGCAGGAGGGAAUCUUCGGCAAUGGGGGCAACCCUGACCGAGCAACGCCGCGUGAGUGAAGAAGGUUUUCGGAUCGUAAAGCUCUGUUGUAAGUCGAGAACGGGUGUGAGAGUGGAAAGUUCACACUGUGACGGUAGCUUACCAGAAAGGGACGGCUAACUACGUG